UUUCUCAUUCUCUGCUCCAUCUCUCUCGACAAAACGCCUUCGCAAAUCCUUCGCAAUUUCUUCAAAUUAAUCAAUAGAGGAAUGGGAAGAUAGCUCUGGUUUCGUCAGAUUGACUUCACAAACCCUACACAAAUUCUAUUUGCGGUUGAAAAUUUUAAUAAAUGACGAGGAACGGAGCCAAAACGCCGCCGAGUCUUCUAAAGGUUGUUUAGGAAGUUAUGUGCGAUUUCUAGCAUUCCAUUCAAUCAAACGCGCUUUGAAAAUCAAACAGAUUUGCACCGACGGCCAUGAUUCCAGAUGCAGAUAGAGAAAGAAUCUUCUGUUUUCUAGAUGAAAUUCUCUUUUCUGGUUUUAGCUCUUAAAUUUCACCUCUGUUCAUGUCAAGUCUAUUAUAACUCGUACGAUAUUCAUUUAAUGUAGCAUGGUUAUUUCUUUUUA